CUACUACUACUACCACUAUUCCACCUACUAUCCCUGUUUCUACUGCUACUACUACCACUAUUCCACCUACUACCCCUGUUUCUACUGCUACUACUACUAUUCUAACUAAUACCCCUGUUUCUACUGCUACUACUACUACUAUUCCACCUACUACCCCUGUUUCUACUACUGCUAAUACUACCACUAUUCCAACUACUACAACUUCUACCGGAACUACUAAUCGCUCUACUACUCCUAUUACGACUUCUGCCAGUCCUCCUACUCCCACUUCUCCUCCUCCUCCUGCUACUACUACAUCUGCUACUACUAGUACCUCUACUACAUCUACCACUCCUCCUCCCACUACUACUAUUCCUACUGCGACUUCCACUCCUCCACCUCAUACUACUAUUACUAUGACUUCUACCAUUCCUCCUCCUCCUCCUACUACUACAACUACUAUUAUUACUACUCCUCCUUCUACUGCUAAUACUUUGACUACCACCAGUGCUACCUCUCCUACUACCAACAGCACUGCCACUUCUACUACUACUGCCACCAACACAUCCAUCCCAACCACCACCUCUUCCAUCCCUAACACAACCAGUGCUCCACCCACCACUCCCUCCACCCAAGCCAUCACCACUACUUUCCCAGAAACGACAACUUUUUCAAACUGUAUCCAAAGCUCCACUGAGUCUAAGGCACUCCUUGUUUUCCUGUUCUGCAUGACACUUGCAUGGCUUGACAUGUGACUGGAGGAAACAAACCCACGUGCUGAUUGGCUGGAUGUUCCAAUGAACAAACAUGAUGCAAGCUUUUUAAUAUUUUGCUAUCUUGUGAAAUUUUUGUAAUUUGAUGACCUCUUGUCAACCAUGAACUGUCUCCAUUUUUUCCCAUCAUACAUGUAACAGAAAAUAAUGUUUGUUGAAAUAUGUGUUUUGUAUAGCCAUGUGUCUUUGUGUGGUAGUUAAUUUAUCUUUUUGGUUAAAAAUUAUGAAAGAUAUGGAUCUGGAAAAAAAUACACAAAAUUUUACAAUUAAAGAAUUCUUCAAAA